rnacentral:rRNA from 1 species
UAAGGGAUAUUGCACAAUGGGCGCAAGCCUGAUGCAGCAACGCCGCGUGCAUGAUGAAGGCCUUCGGGUCGUAAAAUGCUUUUCUGGCUGAAGAGGAAGGACAGUAAGCCAGGAAUAAGUGUCGGCUAACUACGUGCCAGCAGCCGCGGUAAAACGUAGGACGCAAGCGUUAUCCGGAGUUACUGGGCGUAAAGCGCGGGCAGGCGGCUUCGCAAGUCUGGUGUGAAAUCUCUCAGCUCAACUGAGAGCAGCCACUGGAAACUACGGAGCUGGAGUCUGGCAGAGGUAGGCGGAAUUCCGGGUGGAGUGGUGAAAUGCGUAGAGAUCCGGAGGAACACCAGAGGCGAAGGCGGCCUACUGGGCCAGUACUGACGCUGAGCCGCGAAAGCCAGGGGAGCGA